CUGUGAUGAUGAUGGUGGAGGAAGCAGAGAUGGCCUCCUGGUGUAAACUCCUUGUCUUCCAUGAAAACUGCCAGACUGAUGAGUAAAAGCUCUGCUGCCGUGUGACGACUCGUCCACGAAGACAGGACUUCGAUGUCCACUGAAGCUGACACUUCUUCUCCUGACUCUUCAUCUCUGGCGACGACCUGCAGAGCGGACAUUAGAGCAGUGUUCACGGACCAACAUUAAAGUGUUCAAAGAGCUGAAGAGGAUUCACACUGUGAAGCUUUUAGUCCUGAUCUUCAUUCUCUCCUCCUGCUGAUUCUGGUGUUUGGAUCACUUCCACCUGAAAGACGUCUCACCUGCAGCCCAAGGCCUUGUUAUCUCACAGAGAUGUUUUCUCACAAAUCCAAACAAAUUUAUUUUAACAUUCUUUGAACACAGGGAGACUUUUCUUCCUGCAGCUUAGU